AAUUUAAGUCCUGCUCAGAUCUGCUUCGUAGUGGUCUCCAUCAUUCAUGUCUUUUGUCACCUUGGCAGGUUAGCAGGUAAGGAAGGUGACUUGAACACACUGGUAGCAUGAAGGAUUGGUGCUAUAGCAACAUCCAGGCAGAGCUCAUAGCGCUGGGCGACUGUCCACCUUGACUUCUACUAGACUGUUCAUGGACCAGCAGACCCAGGAGGAAAGGAGUGCAUGAGACAGCUUCCAGAUGCUCUGCAGGAAAGGCCACCUCCUGGAAGUGGCUCUUCUCUCCCUUCCCCAUGCCCCACUUUCCUGAGAUACUCCAGGGAUUGUACCAUUGACUAUAGCUUCCUAGGCCAAUCCUAAUUCAGCCAGAACUCCUCAGAGUGCCCAUAGCCCCUGCCCACAAAGACCUCCUUUCUAACACCCCAGUGCUGCUUUUGUCUCAUUGGACAGCCAGGGCUAGGGGAAGUUUGCUGAUACCCUGGGGUGGAGUGGUAGAGGCUGGCAGCACUGUGACCCAGGGGAGAGCCCCACCCAUCAUUAGGCUCCUCCUAGACAGGAUCCCAUGCUGGGGUUAACUCUCACAGGGGGUCACCCUUCUGAAAUGGAAAAUUAUACUUCCAUUUUCUUUCCCAAAGGGAAAAAGGAAGAAAGAAACAAAAUCGAAAUGACUUCUGACACCUCAUAUUCCAAAGCCGCAGCCAUAAAAGGCCUCCCUGGCUUUGCCCCAGCCCAGACCCUCUCCCUUGAGAGAGCUCACAGCUGCAGGGCUAAUGUCAGAUGUGCCCCCUGGAACAAGGUGUUAGACCAUGGAGAGGACACCCACAGUCCUGCAGCUUUCACCCAUGGCAUCCGAGGGCAGCUGAUGUUGCCACAGCUUCUGAAGUCAGCCCUCCGUCCACCACGCCUUCCUACAUCAGCUCCAUCUGCGUUCUAGUCACUCAACCUACCCCAGACUUGCAAGGGAGGAGUCAGCAAGCCCAGAGCCUCAACUUUCAGGAGGAGAUGCUGAAUGUAAUGAACUCGGUUUACAUUUCAGGGCUGCAAUUCCUCUUACCUUUCACGUGAACUCACAGGCGGAUUAAACCGAAAUAAAACCUACCAUCGGAC
rnacentral:lncRNA from 1 species